AAGACUAUACUUUCAGGAAUCCUUUCUAUAGUUCUUUGCUAGGGACAUUUCUCUGUAGUUUUUCACAUAGAGCACCCCAAACUGUGAGGAGGAGUCAGAGCAUCCUCUUGUGAUCAUGAUGCUGGCUCUAGGUGCUUCUUCCGCCUUUUGCUACUGAUGUUGUUCUUAUCUUCCCUUGGAAGAGGGAGAGGAAGAUGAUGCAAUUUGGGUAG
rnacentral:snoRNA from 1 species